UCGAGAAUCUUCCGCAAUGGACGCAAGUCUGACGGAGCGACGCCGCGUGCGGGAUGAAGGCCUUCGGGUUGUAAACCGCUGUCAGUUGGGAGGAAAUCCUAUGGGGUUCUCUCCAUAGGUUGACCUAUCUUCAGAGGAAGGGCGGGCUAAGUUCGUGCCAGCAGCCGCGGUAAGACGAACCGCCCAAACGUUAUUCGGAAUCACUGGGCUUAAAGGGUGCGUAGGCGGCUUGGCAAGUUGGGUGUGAAAUCCCUCGGCUCAACCGAGGAAUUGCGCUCAAAACUGCCAGGCUUGAGGGAGAUAGAGGUGAGCGGAACUAAUGGUGGAGCGGUGAAAUGCGUUGAUAUCAUUAGGAACACCUGUGGCGAAAGCGGCUCACUGGAUCUUUUCUGACGCUGAGGCACGAAAGCUAGGGUAGCGAACGGGAUUAGAUACCCCCGUAGUCC
rnacentral:rRNA from 1 species